UUAUGUGCCCAUGCAGGAACAGUCCUAUAACCAAAGCCCACUGCAACACAGCAAGGUUACUAAUUUAGCUUUUCUUUGGAACCUGUAGCUGAAGCUGGUGACAUGGGCUGGAGUCUGUGGAUUCCUCCUUAUUCUCUGCCCCAAGUGGUUAUCAAGCCAAACAGAAGCAUCUUUUCUACUGGAAGUGGAAAGUAUCCCUGAUUUGGAAUGAUGUAGUAGCCUUCAAGACACCACAGAACACCUGCAUUCCAGGAAGAAUAAAAACUAAAUGGUUCAGGGUGAUGGAACCUGAGAGGAUCUUUUCAGAUCUGAUCUCCCUUACACAAGUUCCCAACCCACUGGCACUUUAUGGAUCUCAGUCUUUCAGGUGCUAUGAAGCAGCAAAAUAAGUUGCACCACUUCUCUGCUCUGACAGAGGUGCCAAUUGUGAAACAGCAAAAGGUACAGUUUAACAGUAAGUAAUGCAUGAAGAAACUAUAACAAGUGUCCUAAAUAUAGAGUUGGACAGAAUCAAACCAAUUAUGUCUAUAACUACUCAAUUGAAACUAAUGUAGGUACAUUCAAAAUAAAGUUGGAGAUUAUUAGUAUUUUGAAUCAAACUUGAAGAUUUUCUUGAUAAACUAUAAAUAUGUUCUUUUGAAAUUGGAAAUGAAACUAUCAAUUGACAAUUGAUGGAGAGCUAGAGACUUAAGUA